UGUCAGACCAACCGAAUACACUGAACCAGGCCGACCGAGUUGAAAAUGCGGGGAGUGUUCUGCACCUUUCUCCUGAUUGCCCUACAAAUGGAUCCAGUGUUAACGAACGCUAAUCUGAUAAUUGAACAAGCAAUUGUGAAUGGUCGAGAGGGAGAAACGGUGAGACUGGAAUGUCUAAGCAGCAGGAAAGAUGAUGAUCGCCGAAUAAAAUGGGGUUAUGUACUACCUAACUCUACCAUCAAAUGGCUCCUGUCCUUGAGCCCGGGGUCUGCAAACUUUACUCGAAUGUCAGGGAUCGAACCCCGUUUCUCUGGCACCAAUGAGAGCAAAUUAACUUUAAAAAUCGACAACUUGAAGCAGAAAGAUUCAACCAACUAUUACUGUCAGAGUAACGAUGCUAAUCAAAAAGCUAAUGACUGGUGUGGGUGUGGAAUUACCCUGAGGGUGAAACCAGCCAUCACACCUUUAGUUUAUCUUCUUUAUCCAUCACCUGAGAAAGCGUCCCAGCAGACUGACAGAAAACUCGUUUGCGUGGUGAGCGAUUUCUAUCCGGAGACUGUCUCUGUUUCUUGGUAUAUUGGCAGCACCCGGCUAUCUUCGGGGAUCUCUAAUUCAGGGAUGCUGAUGGCAUCUGAAGACAGUUUCACCAUUAUCAGUGAACUGACAGUAUCAAUACUUGAGUGGAUCAGUGGGCUUCGUUACACCUGCGUUGUUUCACACAAAGCCCUGUCUUCCCCCAUCAGAAAAGUGAUCAGUAUUGAUGAUCCGAUUCCACCAUCCAUCUAUGUUUUGCCACCAACCUUUGCAGAGAUUGAUGUGAAGAAGACAGCAACAAUUGUGCGUCUAGCUGUUGGAUUUUAUCCUGAAAGCAUUUUCUUUAGGUGGCUGGUUAAUAACCAGGUGAAGGCAACUUUCAAUUCGCAAUCUCUUCCACCGAUUCUAAAUACAAAUGGGAGCUACACUUCCAGAAGUGAGUUUACAGUUGUGCAGAUGAGUGGGAGUCUGGCUCUGUGUACACUUGCGAGAUUCAACAUGUUUCAUUGUCAUUUCCUGUGAGACACAGUUUGAGGAAAAGGAAUGAUGGUUAUAUUCAGGAGCCUGUGAUCCGCCUUAUCUCCCCCCCAUUUGACCCAGUCUCUGCAG